rnacentral:lncRNA from 1 species
UCAUAAACAUACAACAAUAAAGAAACAUACAUAAACUGAUCAUGUGACUCCAAGGGAUUACAAGUCUUAUAAAUCAAGCACCAUUCUAUACACUAUACAUAUACAUUAUCUCUAUACAUUUACAUGUCCACACUAGCUAUUACACCACUCUGUACUCUUCCUGUACCCUGCUGAGUUCUCUCUGACCUCUGAACCUGCACAACUGAAGUUAGGGGAGAGGGAUGAGCUACGAUAGCCCAGUGAGUAGAAUAGGC